rnacentral:rRNA from 1 species
CUAAACGGCCACGGCACUAAAACCGUGCAAAGGUAGCACAAUCACUUGCCCCUUAAAUAGGGGCCCGUAUGAAAGGCAGCAUGAGAGAAGACCUGUCUCCUAGGGCCAGCCAAUGAAAUUGAACUACCAGUACAAAAGCUGGUAUUCACAAGCAAGACAAAAAGACCCUGUGGAACUUUAACAAAUUGUUUAAACAAAUUGAACAAUAGUUUCAGUUGGGAAAACUUUAGAAAAAAUAAACUUCUUAAAUACCACAGACCAACAAGCCUAUAGCCAUCAAACCAUGNNCCAGUUUUACUGAUUAACGAAACAAGCUACCCCAGGGAUAACAGCGCUACCUUCUCAAAGAGUCCUUAUCAACAAGAAGAUCUACGACCUCGAUGUUGGAUCAGGGUAUCCAGACGGUGCAGCAGCUGUCAAAGGUUCGUUUGUUCAACGACUAAGACCC